GUGCAAGUUAGUAAGGGUCCGGGGUGGAUGCCUCGGCUGCCUGAGGGGACGAAGGGCGUGUUAAGCUGCGAUAAGCCGGGUGGAGGCGCAAAAAGCCUGUGAGGCCCGGAUGCCCGAAUGGGGAAACCCGGCAGGGUGUUGAGCCCUGUCAUCCGCCGAUUAGGCGGAGCCUAACGGGACGAAGUAAAACCUUCUAGUAGUCCCAGGAAAGGAAAUCAAACGAGACUCCCCAAGUAGCGGCGAGCGAAAGGGGACCAGCCCAAACUCUGCGGGUGCCAUGGUGGCAGCCUUAGCUCGCAGAGGGUUGCGGGACGCAUCCGGAGAGGUCUGCCAGCCUCUCAGGGAGUUACAAAACUUCCGCUUAGCCGAAGUGAGCUGGAAUGCUCCGCCACAGAGGGUGAAAGCCCCGUAGGCUAAAGGUGAGAAGUCUCCCGGGGAUGCGAUCCCAAGUACCACGGCCCCCGUGGAAGGUCGUGGGAAUCAGGGGGGACCUCCCUCCAAGGCUAAGUACUACAGGCAGACCGAUAGCGCAUAGUACCGCGAGGGAAAGGUGAAAAGAACCCCGGAAGGGGAGUGAAAUAGAACCUGAAACCCCGGAUCCACAAGCCAGUGGAAGGGUCUUUAUGGCCCGACUGCGUGCCUUUUGCAGAAUGAGCCAGGGAGUUGUCCUCAGCGGCGAGGUUAAGCCGUAAGGCGAAGCCGUAGCGAAAGCGAGUCCGAACAGGGCGCUUUAGUCGCUGGGGGCAGACGCGAAGCGGAACGAUCUACCCAUGCCCAGGGUGAAGGACGGGUAAUGCCGUCUGGAGGCCCGAACGGGUCGGUGCUGCAAAACCGUCCGAUGAGGUGUGGGUAGCGGUGAAAAGCCAAUCGCGUUCCGUGAUAGCUCGUUCUCCCCGAAAUAGGUCGACGCCUAGCGUCGCUCGUUUCUUCCCGGAGGUAGAGCCACUGGUUGGGCUAGGGCCUCGAAAGGGGUACCGAACCCUGCCAAACUCCGAAUGCCGGGAAAGAUAGAGCGGCAGUCAGUCCCCGGGGGAUAAGCUCCGGUGGACAAGAGGGAAACAGCCCAGACCGCCAGCUAAGGUCCCAAAAUCCGGGCUAAGUGGGGAAGGAUGUGCGGCUGCUAAGACAGCUGGGAGGUUGGCUUAGAGGCAGCCAUCCUUUAAACAGUGCGUAACAGCUGACCGGCCGAGCGGCCGUGCGCCGAAAAUUUAGCGGGGCUAAAGCCCGGUACCGAAGCUGCGGGCUCGCGCAAGCGAGCGGUAGGGGAGCGUUCCCUGUGGGUUGAAGUCUCACCGUGAGGUGGGAUGGACUGCAGGGAAGUGAGAAUCCUGGCAUGAGUAGCAGCGAAGACAGGUGAGAAACCUGUCCGCCGGAAGCCUCAGGUUUUGGCGGCAAUGUAAAUCAGCCGCCAGUUAGCCGGGACCCUAAGGUGAGGCCGAAAGGCGUAGCCGAUGGGAAGCGGGUCAACAUUCCCGCGCCAGCGGUGUGGAGCCAGAGUCGUGACGCAGGAGGCUAGGGAGAGCCACCUAUGGAAUGGUGGUCCAAGGUAGUAGGAGGGGGUGGCAGGCAAAUCCGUCACCCCAUACUCCGAGAGCUGAUGGGGUAACUCUCCUGACGCCACACUGCCAAGAAACAACGGCGCUGGUGUUGAAGCACCGCUGCCCGUACCGGAAACCGACACAGGUAGGCUGGGUUAGUAGCCUAAGGCGUCGGGGGAACUCUCCUCAAGGAACUCGGCAAAUUGCCUCCGUACCCUCGGUAGAAGGGGGGCCCGUGGGAGUGAAGCCCUGCGGCAUAAGCUCUUGCGGGUCGCAGAGACCGGGCGGUGCCGACUGUUUAUCAAAAACACAGGACUACGCAAACCCGAAAGGGGAUGUAUGUGGUCUGAAGCCUGGCCAGUGCCCGUAGGUUAAGGGGAAGGGUGCAAGCCCUGAACCGAAGCCCGGGUAAACGCCGGCCGUAACUAUGACGGUCCUAAGGUAGCGAAAUUCCUUGUCGGGUAAGUUCCGACCUGCAUGAAUGGCCCAACGAGUGCCGCGCUGUCUCGAGGAGAGUCCCGGCGAAAUUGUAAUGCCGGUCAAGAUGCCGGCUACCCGCGGCAGGACGGAAAGACCCCGUGAAGCUUCACUGUAGUCUGGUACUGAGUCUUAGCCUGUCCUGCGCAGGAUAGGUGGGAGCCUGUGAAGUCCCUCCUCCGGGAGGGAUGGAGGCGCCGGUGAGAUACCACCCUGGACAGGCUGAGACCCUAACCGAGCCGAGUUAACCUCGGCCGGGACCGUGCCAGAUGGGCAGUUUAGCUGGGGCGGCUGCCUCCUAAAAGGUAACGGAGGCGUCCAAAGGUACCCUCAGGCGGGUCGGAAAUCCGCCGUAGAGUACAAGGGCAGAAGGGUGCCUGACUGUGAGGCAGACAUGCCGAGCAGAGGCGAAAGCCGGGCCUAGUGACCCACCGGUUCCUCGGGGAAGGGCCGGUGAUCAGCGGAUAAAAGCUACUCCGGGGAUAACAGGCUAAUCUCCCCCGAGAGCCCACAUCGACGGGGAGGUUUGGUACCUCGAUGUCGGCUCCCCCCAUCCUGGGGCUGAAGCAGGUCCCAAGGGUUGGGCUGUUCGCCCAUUAAAGGGGGACGCGAGCUGGGUUCAGAACGUCGCGAGACAGUUCGGUCCCUAUCCGCCGCGGGCGCAGGAGUCUUGAGGGGGUCCGUCCUUAGUACGAGAGGACCGGGACGGGGCAGGCUCUGGUGUACCGGUUAUCUCUCCAGAGGUAGCGCCGGGUAGCCAUCCUGCUACGGGAUAAGCGCUGAAAGCAUCUAAGCGCGAAGCCCACCCCAAGAUAAGGACUCCCUGAAGGGCCCUGGAAGACUACCAGGUUGAUAGGCAGCAGGUGGAAGCUCCGUAAGGGGUGUAGCCGAGCUGUACUAAUAGCCCGUUCGACUUGCACACC
rnacentral:rRNA from 1 species